rnacentral:rRNA from 1 species
CUGCGCGGAAGAUGUAACGGGGCUAAACCAUGCACCGAAGCUGCGGCAGCGACACUAUGUGUUGUUGGGUAGGGGAGCGUUCUGUAAGCCUGCGAAGGUGGCCUGUGAGGGCUGCUGGAGGUAUCAGAAGUGCGAAUGCUGACAUAAGUAACGAUAAAGCGGGUGAAAAGCCCGCUCGCCGGAAGACCAAGGGUUCCUGUCCAACGUUAAUCGGGGCAGGGUG